GCCCCUGUGGCUGAGUUGGUUACAGCUUCCGACUUUUAGGCUUAUAAGUUUAAAUAUUCAUCGGACGGUCGUGGGUUCAAGCCCCACCAGGGGCU